rnacentral:rRNA from 1 species
UCAAGAAACUUCCACAAUGGGCGAAAGCCUGAUGGAGCGACGUCGCGUGAUGGACGAAGUGCUUCGGCACGUAAACAUCUUUUAUGUGGGAUGAAAUUAUUGACAGUACCACAUGAAUAAGGGGCUCCUAACUCUGUGCCAGCAGGAGCGGUAAUACAGAGGCCCCAAGCGUUAUCCGGAAUCACUGGGCGUAAAGGGUGUCGAGGCGGUUGUAUUAGUCGUUCGUAAAAUCUACGAGCUUAACUUGUAGGCGGCGAACGAAACGGUACGACUUGAGGUUUGGAGAGGUGCGUGGAACUCACGGUGUAGGGGUGAAAUCCGUUGAUAUCAUGGGGAACACCAAAGGCGAAGGCAAUGCACUGGUACGUUCCUGACGCUCAAACACGAAAGCCAGGGUAGCGAAUGGGAUUAGAUACCCUUGUAGUCCCUG